UACGGAGGGUGCGAGCGUUGUCCGGAAUCACUGGGCGUAAAGGGCGCGUAGGCGGCGCGGGCAGUCAACGGUGGAAGCUUGGGGCUCAACCCCGAGUCGGCCGUCGAUACUCCCGUGCUGGAGCACUGUAGAGGCAGGUGGAAUUCCGGGUGUAGCGGUGGAAUGCGUAGAGAUCCGGAAGAACACCGGUGGCGAAGGCGGCCUGCUGGGCAGUAGCUGACACUGAGGCGCGACAGCGUGGGGAGCAAACAGG
rnacentral:rRNA from 1 species